ACAAAGUCACUGGUUUCUGGUUUUCGGCCCGUUUCAUCGUGGACCGCGUUCGACGCGGAAACGCGUAUUAAUAGUUCGGUGGAAAUGGAAUCUAGGUGAGGAACGGGUGAGAAACAGAGGCCGGCGAGCUGUUAUGCGGCGUGGAUGAGACGGAUUCGCACCGGAUUCGACUCGAUGUCCGCCAAUUUAUCGUCGGAUAAGGCCGAUCGAUCGCGGUUUCGCCUUUCGCGUGUUCCCAACGGUGAAUUUCGGAAACGAUACCACGUUUCCACACGUCCACGACGGGGUGGAUCAAGUUGUUAACGCGCUAUUUCUUGUUUGCCCGACGAUCUCUGCUCCAUCGCAUUUCGUGGAAUUGAACCAAGUGAUUUAAAAGGAAAGGAAAACGUUCUUGAUACGAUUCGUGUUUGGGACGAUGUUAAUAAAGUUGGCAUCUUGGGCUGGAAAUAAUUGAGACGAGAGAACGGUGUCAGAAACCCAGGACAAGGAAGAAGAUACGAAGAAGUGGCGUGCAACUCGAAGUGCGUUCUUGCAAGGAGGGCAAGGAGGGUUUAAUUAAUUGCCAGCGUGCUAAUUAAGGGCGAGGAAACGUGGUGUCGCGGCCGCCCUAUUUGCUCGACACGCCAGCCACAGACAAGCCAAGCUGUUUCAAACUGCGCUCACAACCUUCCAAGUUCAGCCAACCUCCCACUCUCCCACUCUCAUUAGUCCUAAUCGUAUCGCCUUCACGCUAUGGUGAACCUGGUGAAUGUUUGGAUAUGCGUUUGGACGGCGAAUUUCGAUUCGACUCGACCGGCUGUUCGAAUGUCUUGCGAAUUUUGGGCAGAAAGUUUUGACGUGUGUGGAUCGAUAAAGAGUAGUUCGUAGCAUAUUGGUCGAAUAAUUCAAUGGAGAAUUCUAUGGAAUUCGAUAGUUACGAUUUUGAUAUUAUGAGAAUUUCAAGAUUCAUAGGAGUCGAGAAGUGUUUUAUGAGCGAAAUCCAGAUCAAAAUGUUAUCUUCCUAUUCCAAUUUCUCUUGUAAUAACAAUACUUUUCUUAUCUCUUCUUGUUACUUUUUGCCAUGCGAUUAAAUCUGCAAAAUCUUCCGAAUCGCUUUUUGCGAGAAAGGAUUUAAAAGAAUAAACUUCGAAGCUAUUUGCUAUUAAAACCAGUUAAUAAACUUCCUGGCAAGCAAUCCCAUAAUAGUUUUCAGAAACCUCGUAGAAAACGCGCAAUAACUAAAAAGCGGCGCCAUCUAGGAAAACGUAACGGUGAAUCACGAGUCCCGUAGAGCGGCGCUAAUUCCUUGGUAAAUAAGGCGAACGAUAAUGUACGCGUUUCAAUAAUUCAAUUAAAACUGUAAAUUGUCGUCGCGCGUUUAUUUUUUUUCUUUCGAACUCAAAACUCGAGAAACCACCGUGUCCGAGCGUGGUCUCGCCGAUUAAUUAGAUCGCCGCCGACUAAUUGAGACUUUUACGUCGCCCGUAAUAAGAACAAUAUGACUCGAGAUCGUCGAAGGGAAUGAAAGUCGAAGAGCUUGGAUGGAAAUUCGCGUGUAAGAUCUGGACGGAUAAAGAAAGCGCGAGUCGUGAUUGUGUGCAAAUUGCACGCCACGAUGUGCCGUGUCACGGUAAAUGUUUUGCGGAAUAUUGAAAAAAAAAAAAAAAGACACGUUAUUUGUACUCUUCUAUUCUGUGAAUGGCGAGAAUCUAAUCUGAGCAAUUUUCCUGCAAAUAUUUUUUUUAUAGAAAGAAAAGUGGUAACGUAGAAUAUUAUCGUCUCGUUUUUUGAGCGAAUUCUUGAACGAAUGUGUGAACUUUGCUCGUUUCUUAUAUCCGAGGCCUUGGAAUUUAUGCAGUGUCGUACAUAAUCGUGUAUAAAAGUUUAUUAACAUUUGUUUGUUUCUUAUAUUGUUUCUGUGUAUAUAAAAGAGUUCAGGAUAAAGAAAGGAAUUUUAAUUGGGAAAUAUUUUGAUCCCAUAUUAAUAUUUACGUUUGAUGUAAUUGUUAUAAAUUUAUAAUUCAAUCGAUGAAAGAUUUACAUCGGUAUGCAAAUAACAUUUUUUUUUUUUUGAUGAAUAAAAAGUUUAUCACUUUGUUUCGAGAGGACGGAAUUAUCCAAAGAGAGUGGCGUAUCUAAAUGAAUUGAGAAUUCCCAUUGGUGAUACCAAGUUCCAUAUUAUCUUUGCGCAUAUGGGGUUUGUAUGGUUAAUUAAAAAUUCCAUAUUAUUACAGGACAGAUUUCCAUUAAUAUUUACAAGUAAUUAAAAAAACUUUAUGAAACUUAUUAUUAACUUAUGAUUAAACCUAAAGAUUAAGAAUUACUAGAAUAUCAAAAAAUUGUAAACUUUCGUAACUAACUAUUUAGUUAAUUGUUAAUCGGAUAUGUAAAUUGUAUAUAUAAACCAGUUUAUUUUGCAAUUCAUAUUUUCUCCUCGCUAUCUCCUAUUGCUAUCAGCCUUUGCUCUAAAAUACGCAAACCAGAAGGUUAGUAUUCAAAGGAGAGAGUGUCCUCGCGCGAAACAGUAUUCGAAAUCUAUGAAUAUUUGAUGAUUCGGUUUUCAUGCAUAGUUUCCUCGGUUUGGUACCCUGUUCAUUAUUACUGUUUGUUGAUCGUAGCUGGGAGUAAUGCUAAUUGGAAUUGUUCGUAACAUUACACUUGAUACACGAUACGGGAUAAUUGUACGAAUGUGAUGUAUUUCGAAAUAGGGAAGAAAUAAACUGUAUGUACAAAACAA